rnacentral:rRNA from 1 species
UUUGGACCUGAUAUCAGACAAGACUACCCGCCUGAAUUUAAGCAUAUCAAUAAGCGGCAGGA